rnacentral:rRNA from 1 species
ACUUGACGUUGGUUUACCAGCGAGUGGCGGACGGGUGAGUAACACGUAGGUAACCUGCCCCAAAGCGGGGGAUAACAUUUGGAAACAGAUGCUAAUACCGCAUAACAAUUUGAAUCGCAUGAUUCAAAUUUAAAAGAUGGCUUCGGCUAUCACUUUGGGAUGGACCUGCGGCGCAUUAGCUUGUUGGUAGGGUAACGGCCUACCAAGGCUGUGAUGCGUAGCCGAGUUGAGAGACUGAUCGGCCACAAUGGAACUGAGACACGGUCCAUACUCCUACGGGAGGCAGCAGUAGGGAAUCUUCCACAAUGGGCGCAAGCCUGAUGGAGCAACACCGCGUGAGUGAAGAAGGGUUUCGGCUCGUAAAGCUCUGUUGUUAGAGAAGAACGUGCGUGAGAGCAACUGUUCACGCAGUGACGGUAUCUAACCAGAAAGUCACGGCUAACUACGUGCCAGCAGCCGCGGUAAUACGUAGGUGGCAAGCGUUAUCCGGAUUUAUUGGGCGUAAAGCGAGCGCAGGCGGUUUGAUAAGUCUGAUGUGAAAGCCUUUGGCUUAACCAAAGAAGUGCAUCGGAAACUGUCAGACUUGAGUGCAGAAGAGGACAGUGGAACUCCAUGUGUAGCGGUGGAAUGCGUAGAUAUAUGGAAGAACACCAGUGGCGAAGGCGGCUGUCUGGUCUGCAACUGACGCUGAGGCUCGAAAGCAUGGGUAGCGAACAGGAUUAGAUACCCUGGUAGUCCAUGCCGUAAACGAUGAGUGCUAGGUGUUGGAGGGUUUCCGCCCUUCAGUGCCGCAGCUAACGCAUUAAGCACUCCGCCUGGGGAGUACGACCGCAAGGUUGAAACUCAAAGG